UGGGGAAUAUUGCACAAUGGGCGCAAGCCUGAUGCAGCGACGCCGCGUGGGGGAUGACGGCCUUCGGGUUGUAAACUCCUUUCGCUAGGGACGAAGCUCUUUGUGACGGUACCUAGAUAAGAAGCACCGGCUAACUACGUGCCAGCAGCCGCGGUAAUACGUAGGGUGCGAGCGUUGUCCGGAAUUACUGGGCGUAAAGGGCUCGUAGGUGGUUUGUCGCGUCGUCUGUGAAAUUCCGGGGCUUAACUCCGGGCGUGCAGGCGAUACGGGCAUAACUUGAGUACUGUAGGGGUAACUGGAAUUCCUGGUGUAGCGGUGAAAUGCGCAGAUAUCAGGAGGAACACCGAUGGCGAAGGCAGGUUACUGGGCAGUUACUGACGCUGAGGAGCGAAAGCAUGGGUAGCGAACAGG
rnacentral:rRNA from 1 species